rnacentral:lncRNA from 1 species
GGAGUUCACAUUAGAGUUCACUACUGGAUUGCAGAUGACUUUUGUGACCUUGGGAAACUAUUAAACCAACCAGUUUCUUCCCCAAGGCAGACAUUAAGUGUUUACUAUAUCCCCUUCUAUGGAGUAACAAGAAGACUUAAAAAUAUAAAUAAAAGUGAAGUCCUAUUCCCAUGUUCCUUUACCUUGAACAACAUUUCAUACAAUGCACAGGUACAAAGGUAUUUGAAAAAACUCUCUCCUCAGCACUACAG